GCAAGCUCUUUUGAAGAGUGUCAGAUCUAAAACAGAAAAAUACCAAAUCACUCGUAGGUUAAGGGCCGCCAAAUAAGGACUAGUUGAAUCAAGUGGUGUUUUUUUAAAACCUUUUACGAACCUUAGGAAAGAGAGAUCCUCUACAUUGGUCCUGGUAAAAUUUAAUGUCUAAAUUUUAAAUUUGUUUUUCCUGCAAAAAUUGUCCUGUUCAUCCAGAGUAUGGAAUAUUCGUAUGGUCCCCAAUAAAAAAUUGCAAUGCCUUCUAGAUGAUUCAGGCUCAUGUGAAUGUAGUCAUUAAUAAAAUAUGUAAACCUGUCGAAAGCAAUCGUUAGAUACUUUGAUCCAUUUAAAUAACUUAGAUUGUUCUCAUAUAUUUCAAAAUAUUUACUAAAUAAAUUGUAUAUCGACACUUUCUGUACACCGAGAUCUCUGAGAUAGUACACUCCAGGACGAAGUGUGGAGUUCUUAGAAACUCCCACACUUAACUUGUUUAGCAUGACAUUAGUGUCCUUAGAAAUGGCGACGAUAUUCCUCUCUUUGCAGUCGGCAUUAAUCCACUCGAUUGUCAAGUGUCCAUGGUCUAAAUUCAACGGCACGUUCUAUCACUGGAACUGUUAGUGCAUGCACCUUUAUAGUAUAUUUCACAGUAAUCCUCUCUGAUGUUUUCCAACAACUUUUGAGCACUAAAUGAAUUUAUUUGCUGGAGUAUCAAAAAUAUACUCCACGACAUUUUUGGAUGGGAACGAUGUCGAAGAUUGAUUCAAACUAAACAAGCAAGACGAAUAUUUUUUGGGUAAGAUCCCAUUGGUUUCCCAGAGAGAAGAAAAUCAAAAGAAAAAAGAAAACAGAAACAUUAAUUUUAUCAUACUCCCAAAAGUGCUGUUGUAAAUCCACUGGAGUGUCAUAAAUAUUUAAGAGCUGAAACGACGAGAUUCAGUUGAUUAUUCUGACACGCAGUCUCUCAACUACUAUUCUACUGUUUCCGACAAAUAAUCUGACUAUUCAUGAGAGAGGAUCGGCCACAAUUUCUUUAAAAAAACGGAUACGGCAAUGUUGAAUUAAGUUUUCAUCCUUUAUUCUCAGUGUAUGAACAGAAGAUUGGCUGUGUAUAUUUGUGUUUGUACCGUUAUUCCUUUUAUUUUUCUAUUCCAUUGCUACCGUAUAUUUUCUGCGGAAAAUAUCAGACACACAUACGGUGUUGUAAAUACUU